rnacentral:rRNA from 1 species
UACGAAGGGGGGCUAGCGUUGUUCGGAAUUACUGGGCGUAAAGCGAGUGUAGGCGGUCUUAAAAGUCAGGUGUGAAAGCCCCGGGCUCAACCCGGGAAGUGCACUUGAAACUGCAAGGCUAGAGUACUGGAGAGGUUGGUGGAAUUCUCGGUGUAGAGGUGAAAUUCGUAGAUAUCGAGAGGAACACCGGUGGCGAAGGCGGCCAACUGGACAGAUACUGACGCUGAGACUCGAAGCCAGUGGGAGAAAGGCAGAUGAGAA